CGCGAAUGGCUCAUUACAACAGCUAUAAUUUACUUGAUCUUGACACAAUCCUACUUGGAUAACUGUGGUAAUUCUAGAGCUAAUACAUGCAUUAAAGCUCUGACCUCACGGGAAGAGUGCAUUUAUUAGAACAAAACCAAGCGGCUUCGGCUGUUUCUGGUUGACUCAUAGUAACUGAGCUGAUCGCAUGGUCUUGCACCGGCGACGUGUCUUUCAAGUAUCUGCCGUAUCAACUUUCGAUGGUAGUGUAUCUGACUACCAUGGUGAUCACGCGUAACGGAGAAUAAGGGUUCGGCUCCGGAGAGUUCGCCUGAGAAAUCGCGAACACAUCUAAGGAAGGCAGCAGGCGCGAAAAUUACCCACUCUCAGCACGAGGAGGUAGUGACGAAAAAUAACGAGACCGUUCUCUUAUGAGGCCGGUCAUCGGAAUGGGUACAAUUUAAACCCUUUAACGAGUAUCUAUGAGAGGCCCUGUCUUUCCAGCAGCCGCGGUAAUUCCAGCU
rnacentral:rRNA from 1 species